AGUAGCGGCGAGUGAAGCGGCAAAAGCUCAAAUUUGAAAUCUGGCACCUUCGGUGUCCGAGUUGUAAUUUGAAGAUUGUAACCUUGGGGUUGGCUCUUGUCUAUGUUUCUUGGAACAGGACGUCACAGAGGGUGAGAAUCCCGUGCGAUGAGAUGCCCAAUCCUAUGUAAGGUGCUUUCGAAGAGUCGAGUUGUUUGGGAAUGCAGCUCUAAGUGGGUGGUAAAUUCCAUCUAAAGCUAAAUAUUGGCGAGAGACCGAUAGCGAACAAGUACAGUGAUGGAAAGAUGAAAAGAACUUUGAAAAGAGAGUGAAAAAGUACGUGAAAUUGUUGAAAGGGAAGGGUUUGAGAUCAGACUCGAUAUUUUGUGAGCCUUGCCUUCGUGGCGGGGUGACCCGCAGCUUAUCGGGCCAGCAUCGGUUUGGGCGGUAGGAUAAUGGCGUAGGAAUGUGACUUUGCUUCGGUGAAGUGUUAUAGCCUGCGUUGAUGCUGCCUGCCUAGACCGAGGACUGCGAUUUUAUCAAGGAUGC
rnacentral:rRNA from 1 species